UCACACACUAGCUGAGCGCAGAGAGCGAGUGCCCUCUCCUGUAACUGACACGGUCCUGGGCAGAGCAUCCUCGGGGUGACCGAGCUCGGACAGCAGCCUGAGGUCGCCCCUCCCAUCUCUGCGCAGAGGCUGUCUCCCUGGACCUGAGCGGGUGCGGUCACCGAGCAUGGGCAGGCGUCCUGCAGCUUCCAGCCCCAGAGAAAGCAGGCCCUCCACGUGAUCAGAGUCCCAGCAGACGUCCGCGACAGCGUCUCACCUCUCUGACUCGGGGCCUGUGUCCAGCCCUGAACCGAAGGCGGCGGCCAGGCAUAAUUGAGUCCCUGGCAGCUGUGCCCAGAUGCAGCUUCUACAAACAGGAAUUUGCCCCAAAUUUGCUCUGAGCAUCUCCCCUGGAUCAAGCCCAAGAUCCCUGAGGCUGGUCAGGGCAGCACAUAACUCAGUGACUGCUCACUGUCUCUGCUGGUGACAACGGAAGAUGCAGAGGGGAAAGAAGGAAGGAGAACUUAUUCCUGCAUUCAUUCGUUCAUGUAUUCAACACAUAUUUGUUGAGUCCCUACUUUAUGUUAGACAGUUUUAUUCUCUGGAAACACAAUCUUGAAUAAAACAGACCAAACUCUCA